CCAACCUGGUUGAUCCUGCCAGUAGUCAUAUGCUUGUCUCAAAGAUUAAGCCAUGCAUGUCUAAGUAUAAAUAACUACACAGUAAAACUGCGAAUGGCUCAUUAGAACAGUUAUAGUUUAUUUGAUACAUUAAAUGGAUAACUGUAGGAAACUAGAGCUAAUACAUGCCUAGGCCGUAAGGCUGCAUUUAUUAG
rnacentral:rRNA from 1 species